GACGAACGCUGGCGGCGUGCUUAACACAUGCAAGUCGAACGGAAAGGCCCUGCUUUUGUGGGGUGCUCGAGUGGCGAACGGGUGAGUAACACGUGAGUAACCUGCCCUUGACUUUGGGAUAACUUCAGGAAACUGGGGCUAAUACCGGAUAGGAGCUCCUGCUGCAUGGUGGGGGUUGGAAAGUUUCGGCGGUUGGGGAUGGACUCGCGGCUUAUCAGCUUGUUGGUGGGGUAGUGGCUUACCAAGGCUUUGACGGGUAGCCGGCCUGAGAGGGUGACCGGCCGGGUGGUGAGAGAGAUACGCCGCAGUGGGGGACGGGAGGGGGGAGGGGGGCAGAGGGAAGGAGGGGGGGGCGGCGGAGGCAGCACGGGGGGGGGCGGGGUGAGGGCCGGGGGGGUGGCAACCGCUGUCGCCGGAGAGGGGGGGUGGGUGACGGUGAGGGGAAAAGGAGCACCGGCAAGCUACGCGCCAGGAGACGGGAUAAUAAG
rnacentral:rRNA from 1 species